rnacentral:rRNA from 1 species
UACAGAGGUCCCAAGCGUUGUUCGGAUUCACUGGGCGUAAAGGGUGCGUAGGCGGCCGCGCAAGUCUGGCGUGAAAGCCCCGGGCUCAGCCCGGGAAGGGCGCUCGAAACGGCGCGGCUCGAGUGCCGGAGGGGAGAGUGGAAUUCCUGGUGUAGCGGUGAAAUGCGUAGAUAUCAGGAGGAAUACCGGUGGCGAAAGCGACUCUCUGGACGGCAACUGACGCUGAGGCACGAAAGCGUGGGGAGCAAACAGG